rnacentral:rRNA from 1 species
GAUAAACGCUAGCGGCAGGCUUAACACAUGCAAGUCGAGGGGCAGCAUAGACUGUAGCAAUACAAUUGGUGGCGACCGGCGCACGGGUGCGUAACGCGUAUGCAACCUACCCGUCACAGGGGGAUCAUCCGGAGAAAUCUGGUCUAAUACCCCAUAACAUAUGGAUCGGCAUCGGUUCAUGUUGAAAUUUUCGGAGGUGACGGAUGGGCAUGCGUAGCAUUAGCUUGUUGGUGAGGUAACGGCUCACCAAGGCGACGACGUUUAGGGGGACUGAGAGGUGUUCCCCCCACACGGGUACUGAGACACGGACCAGACUCCUACGGGUGGCAGCAGUGAGGAAUAUUGGUCAAUGGGCGCAAGCCUGAACCAGCCAUGCCGCGUGCAGGAUGACGGCUCUAUGAGUUGUAAACUGCUUUUGUACGAGGGUAAAGUGGGUUACGUGUAACCUUUUGAAAGUAUCGUACGAAUAAGGAUCGGCUAACUCCGUGCCAGCCGCCGCAGUAA